rnacentral:rRNA from 1 species
UACGAGGGGUGCAAGCGUUGCUCGGAAUUAUUGGGCGUAAAGGGUAGGUAGGUGGUCUCAUUUGUCUGGGGUGAAAGCCUUGAGCUUAACUCAAGAAGUGCCCCGGAAACGGUGAGACUGGAGUCCCGGAGAGGGUCGUGGAAUUCCCGGUGUAGCGGUGAAAUGCGCAGAUAUCGGGGAAGAACACCCGUGGCGAAGGCAGCUCGCUGGGACGUGGACUGACGCUGAGACGCGAAAGCGUGGGGAGCAAACAGG